UUACGGCUAUAUCCUGUUGAAACACCGGCCUCCGUAUGACCACCGAAGUUAAGUAAAGUCGCGUCUGGUCAGUACCAAGAUGGGUGACCGCAUGGGAAUACCAGGUGCUGUG